rnacentral:rRNA from 1 species
AGCGAACGCUGGCGGCAGGCCUAACACAUGCAAGUCGAGCGCCCAGCAAUGGGAGCGGCAGACGGGUGAGUAACGCGUGGGGAUGUGCCCAAUGGUGCGGAAUAACCCAGGGAAACUUGGAUUAAUACCGCAUGUGCCCUUCGGGGGAAAGAUUUAUCGCCAUUGGAUCAACCCGCGUCUGAUUAGCUAGUUGGUGAGGUAAAGGCUCACCAAGGCGACGAUCAGUAGCUGGUCUGAGAGGAUGACCAGCCACACUGGGACUGAGACACGGCCCAGACUCCUACGGGAGGCAGCAGUGGGGAAUAUUGGACAAUGGGCGCAAGCCUGAUCCAGCCAUGCCGCGUGAGUGAUGAAGGCCUUAGGGUUGUAAAGCUCUUUCGCCGGUGAAGAUAAUGACGGUAACCGGAGAAGAAGCCCCGGCUAACUUCGUGCCAGCCACCGCAGUAA